AGAUCCUAUUGGUCUUCCUCCUGAUGCAAGGAAACCAUCCUCAGGCCUCCCAUCAAUUAUUUCUGGUAAGGUCAAGAAUGGGUUAAAGGAUUGUCCUCCCUCUAAUGGAUGACAAACCGGUUGACUGUUUGCAUUGCUGAUAACAGUUGGCAUCUCCAAUGAGAGUGGAGUUGGCUGCAAGGAAUUUUCCACAGACUCUGCAGAUAUAUAUUGUGGCUUCUGAAUAUCAGCACAAGUAAAAUGCAAAAACGGGUUUGGAAUCUCUCUACCUGACGAUAGGAAAUCAAAUUGUGAUUUCUCAUCAGCUGCAAAUGGCUGUAUUGGCAGCAAGGUGCCCUCACCAUGAUCAAUCCAUUCUUUAUGUGAAGCUGGUGGAGCAGGUUGAACCUUGCCUAGCCUCCAUUGCAUAGGAGGUAGGGGUGGCAAUGGUGGCACCUCCUCCAGAUUCUCAGGGAGUAUGCCAAAGCUAGGAAAGACGGAAUCAAAUGGAUUCCUUGACAACAUAGCAUCAUUAAGUUCUGGACCUGCUGGUUGCAUUUGAAGUUCUUGGCCUGAAGGAGCAUCUUGUUUGGAAGAAGCACCAAGGCAUCUUUUUUUAUCUAUUUCACUCACAGUCUGUAUCUCUUCAAACUGCAGAUUUGAUGACUUAGGACUAGUCUUAUCUGCUUGCAGACAUCCCUCAUCGAGUUGAUCAGAUUGCAAUUCCACUGUCGACUCUGAAGGAACUCCAGGCUCUGCAAGGUGACAAGGAGGUGUACUCUGAAGAUCCAAUGACUCAAAAUUCACUUCAUCCAUGACUGCACAGACUGAUUCUGCAAAAAUUUGAUCAGCAGGCAACUCCAAUGAGUGUUCUAAAGAAGUUUCUACUUCUGAUAGAUAAGAGGUAGGUGCAGACACAGCAUCUUCACUAAUAUCUAUAGAAUGCCUCAAGUAGGCAUGUUGUUUUGAUUCCAAAUCCAGUUUGCUUAGCUCUGAAGAUGGUACAGUGUCAUCACUGAUAUAAGAGUAACGUUGUGUAUGAUCAGCAACAGCUGACUCAUGAACAUGUUUGAGCGCUUCUAGAUUGGAAUGGUCAUCAGAGAGUGAUUCAUAUGGACUGGAGUCCAAAUCUGUAGGAGCAACUUCCAUUUGUUCUACUUCCUUUUGUUCCUCUGAUUCAGGACAAUAUUCUGGAAAAGCUCCCUUAUUUAAGUCCAAUCCUUUCUGAUGUGCACCCUCAUUAAAGUCCAACCCUUUCUGAUGUGCACCCUCAUUUCCAGUAUCAGAUUCUUGAAUAUAUGAAAGAUUGCUGGAUGGAGAGCAAACCAAGUCUGAAGAGAGGACAUUAGCAACAUUAACACCAUCAUCAGCACCAGUGGUGACAGUAACACUAACAGGAGAUGCACCUACAUCUUCCUUUAAGUUUACGUGCUCAUCAAGAAUUUGUUUAUCUGAAAAAUUCACUGGAUGCUCAAAAGGGACAGAAUCUUCUCCCACAUCCAACUUGCUAGCACAUCUACCUAUUUCCUCACCACCAUCAGCUGCAGAAGUUUCUUCAAGACUCGUCUCUUCAGAAUGUGUUGCUCCUACUUCAGUCAAUUCACGUUCAACCUGUGAGACAUCAACUGAUAUAUCUGAGCAUUGAUGCUCCAUAAUGCUACCAACCUCUAGAGUUUCCACAAUACCCCUUACAUUUUCAGGGUUAACUCCAGCAGUGACAUCAACAACUUCAGAAUCUAUGUGAAAAGGGUUUACAAUGUCUGAACUUUCAGAAACAAGUGCGAUGUCUAAAUCCACGUCAACUUCCGGCGAAAUUGAGCAAGGGAACUGCUCCGUUGAUGGCAAAAUAACUGCAUGUGGAGAGUCAAUUUUUCCUGCAACAAAAAUUUCAUCAUUAAUUCCAUCUGCAUAAUCUGUUUGAAGCACUUCUUUCACAAAGCCAUCAGAGUCUUUCUUUUCCAGAUCUGCCACAUUUGAAGUAUGUAAACCCAUAUUGGGAUCUUCAUGAUCUGAAUCUUCCACAAGACAACCUUGAGAAGAAACUGUAGGUAAAUUAUUAUGCGCUGCAUGUGAAGGAACAUCAGAUACAACUAUGGAAGAAUCAGAUAAACCUGUCCCAUUUUCGUCAAUGUUUGGUGACUUUGGACCAAGUUUACAGUCGCAGGAUAUUUCUUCUGAUUCAGUUUCUACGACAAUUGAAUUUGCAACAGGAACUGAAGGUGGAAGCAAAUUAUUCGAAUCUGAUGGAAACAAACUACCAGUUUCUUCUCCAGUAUUAGGAAUUGUGUCUUCCUCAAUGCACUUCUUGUGUGCCACUAAAAGCUCACUGGAUUGAGUUCCUAGAGUCUCCACAUCAACAGAUGGAGGGUCAAAUGGUGAAUCCACAAUCUCUGCUGCAUGAUUUUCAGAUGAAGGGGAUAUUUUCACUGCCCCUUCGCUGUCAGAUGGUAUAUUCUCAGCAAAAUUGCUAACAGAAUCAGAGUAGGAAAAACUAGAUUGCCCUUGCUUAAAUGAACCUCUCCCAUCAUCAGACAUAGAUGAAUUUCCAAAUGACUGAGAAUCAGAAAAAUUAGCUCGUAUGUCUAGAUUUUCCUCAAUUGCAUCAGAAUCUGUCGCAUGUUUUACACCCUUCAAGAAACACUGCUCAGUCUUAAGCUUGUACUCAUUAUCUGUUUCCAUUUCUGACUCCAUGGUAGUAAGAGCAUCUGUGUAGUUAUCCACCUCACUAAUCAGGUCAUCAGAAUGGUUCCCAUCAAGACUUGCCUCUGUUUUGCCAUCUUCAUCAACUGCUAAUUCACUUUCAAUUGCCAUCUUAUGAGUGACAUAAGGAGAUUCAUGUGCCUCACCACCAGCAACUGGGUCAGUGACCAUCACAAUUUCUCUAUUAAUAGCAUCCUCAUUCAAGUCAUGCCUGUAAGGUUUUAAUGCAACUUCCGGUGCUUUAGGAGAUGAACACGUGCUUUCACUUCCUUCUGAUGACUUUUUCACAGGACUUACAGUACUUAUCUCAACUAUUUCAAGCCCAGAUCCAUUAGAAUUAUCCAACAUCAAUUCCAAUCGUGGUGGAUUAUCAGGAACCUCAUGAACUACUUUAUGUUCAGGUGAAGAAGUUCCCAGGAAUUUCUCCAUGUAACUUUUUCCAGGUUUCAGAUCAAAUGGAGAUCCAUUUAGCUGCCUUCUCUUCAAUUUCACAAGGCGUGCAGGGUCAGGAUGACCAUUCUCAACCCGCUCCUCCAAAAAUAACUGAUGCAAUUUGGCAUGUGAUGUUGGCACUUCUUGGGUUUCUCCAUUCCUCCAGCGCGAUCCUUUCUUCUGUCCAAAUUACAUGUCAAGCAUUAUUAGGAUACAGGUUGAACCAUACAGCAUCAGAAAAAAGUGAGUUCAUGCCAGUACUCUGACCAGCAUAGCCAUAGCUAGCUGAGAAAAGAAAACCUUAGAAAUAUUCUCCUUUUCUUCAUCAAUAGGUGAAGACCGAUUUUCAAGCCAUCCCAAAAACUGAAAACCUGUAGCACUCUGAGUUCUAGUUCUGUUUAUUAAAACAGAAUUCUCAAACUUCAAAAGUGUAAAGCCUCCUCUAAUUUUACUGAUCAACACUCAGAUAAGAGACUAAAUUAUCUCUAAUAUGCUCACAAAUAUUUACAAGUAAAAUUCACAUGAAAAACGUUCUCAACUCAAGGACUCCUUAAAUUUAAAACCUAACUUUUAAUGGAGUAUGUUAAGUGUUGACAAUCACAAAUCACUAAAACAUAUCCUUGAAAUAAAAUUCACCCUCAGUAGCAAAGUUUCAAAUAGUGAUUUCAAGGUUAAACCUAGGAGUUCUCCUUAAAGACUAUGGCACGCCUAAAAGCCAGAUUCAUAGAGAUCUAAAAGGCAAUAAAAUAAACAAAUAAAACAAAUAUUGAAAGAGAAGUAGAAGAUAAAAUUAUACUCAGUGUCAAUCAGAUUGCAAUUUAUCCCAAAGCAAUGAAAAGAUCAGAAGGAAGACAUAGUCUUUCUAUCAUAAGCUCAAGCUUUUGCAUUAAUAUCAAGUUAAAAGACAACCAUCUAAUGUAAUAUAGGAUGAAGUAUCAUUAAAAGUACUGUUUUUUUGUUAAAGCUAUAAACAUGACUGCAAGUGAUUAUAAUAACCACUUUAACAAAAUUCAUUCUCAGUAGAUUUUCUCCAAGUCAAGCUAACCAAUUUCACAGAUAUGCUCAACCAAAAAACCUUAGAGGCCAUUUACUCAACCAAAACCCUUAGAGAAGGACUACAUAGACUAUACACAAAUAUUAAUAUGAAUGUGCAUACACCAAGAUUUUCCAUGCUAUAUAAUUGUAAUUUUCACUGCACACCUUCACUUUUCGGAUUUUCUUCUCUCUCUGAACAUCUACUGCCGUUAUUCCAGAGGAUGUUGUUUCAACUUUAAAGAAUGAUGGAUCGGUGUAACGCUUCAAACAUGCUCCAGCCCCCGCAACAUCAAACUUGUCCAAAAGGAAUAACCGUGGGGGACCACGGCAUUCUUCAUAAGAGUCCAUUACAAAACGAGGUAAGUCUCCACGAGUGAUCAGAUUCUGUUCCAUGCGCAAAUUAGGAUGCCAGUCAACACCUGCGUUAGUAAAGAAUGGCGAAUGAUCAGUUUGAGAGAGAAACGCCUUCUCAAUUGAAGGGAAUUCAGCCUCAAGCUGCUGAACACGAGCCAUUAGGCCAUGGCCUCUAGCUGCAGUUGCCAUUACUUCUUCAUGCAAAUCAUGAAAUACCUCGGCAGCAAACUCCGCAAGGUCACCAAGCUGGCGCAAGACGCCAACAAGGCCAGCCAUGGCAACGCCUUCCAAAAGAGCCUCUGGAUCAUCCUUAUUGGCAGCCCUGUACAGCUCCGGAUCGGCCAAACCGUAUUCAUUUCUUAACUGAUACCUCGACAGCGGCAUUUCCACAAUCAAUCAAUAACAUCGCCGGCCUCCAAACACACAGCAGCAGAAACCCUACUUAUCCUCUAUAAAAAUCUCCGUUUCUUGGAAUUUUUUUUGGCCAAAAAUACAUUUCCCUGCGAGGGAGGAUGAUACUGGGGAAGUGAAUGUAGAGUAGAGGAAGACCAGGCCAGAACAGACAAUACGUGGAGAGAGAGAGAGAGAGAGA
rnacentral:misc_RNA from 1 species